GCUGUCACUCAGCGGUAGAGCAUCUGCUUUGCAUGCAGAAGGUCCCAAGUUAAAUCCCUGGCAUCUCCA